rnacentral:rRNA from 1 species
GAUGAACGCUGGCGGCGUGCCUAAUACAUGCAAGUCGAGCGAACAGACGAGGAGCUUGCUCCUCUGACGUUAGCGGCGGACGGGUGAGUAACACGUGGAUAACCUACCUAUAAGACUGGGAUAACUUCGGGAAACCGGAGCUAAUACCGGAUAAUAUAUUGAACCGCAUGGUUCAAUAGUGAAAGACGGUUUUGCUGUCACUUAUAGAUGGAUCCGCGCCGCAUUAGCUAGUUGGUAAGGUAACGGCUUACCAAGGCAACGAUGCGUAGCCGACCUGAGAGGGUGAUCGGCCACACUGGAAGGGAGACACGGUCCAGACGACUACGGGAGGCAGCAGUAGGGAAUCGUCCGCAAUGGGCGAAAGCCUGACGGAGCAACGCCGCGUGAGUGAUGAAGGUCUUCGGAUCGUAAAACUCUGUUAUUAGGGAAGAACAAAUGUGUAAGUAACUAUGCACGUCUUGACGGUACCUAAUCAGAAAGCCACGGCUAACUACGUG